GGGGAUAUGGCGGAAUGGUAGACGCAGCGGACUCAAGCAGUAGAACGAAAAUCCGUUGGUUUCGACCGUGAGGGUUCGACUCCCUCUAUCCCCA
rnacentral:tRNA from 1 species